rnacentral:rRNA from 1 species
ACGAACGCUGGCGGCACGCUUAACACAUGCAAGUCGAACGAGAGAAGAGAAGCUUGCUUUUCUGAUCUAGUGGCGGACGGGUGAGUAACACGUGAGCAAUCUGCCUUUCAGAGGGGGAUACCGAUUGGAAACGAUCGUUAAUACCGCAUAACAUAAUUGAACCGCAUGAUUUGAUUAUCAAAGAUUUAUCGCUGAAAGAUGAGCUCGCGUCUGAUUAGCUAGUUGGUAAGGUAACGGCUUACCAAGGCGACGAUCAGUAGCCGGACUGAGAGGUUGAUCGGCCACAUUGGGACUGAGACACGGCCCAGACUCCUACGGGAGGCAGCAGUGGGGAAUAUUGCACAAUGGAGGAAACUCUGAUGCAGCGAUGCCGCGUGAGGGAAGAAGGUUUUAGGAUUGUAAACCUCUGUCUUCAGGGACGAAAAAAGACGGUACCUGAGGAGGAAGCUCCGGCUAACUACGUGCCAGCAGCCGCGGUAAUACGUAGGGAGCGAGCGUUGUCCGGAAUUACUGGGUGUAAAGGGAGCGUAGGCGGGAUCGCAAGUCAGAUGUGAAAACUAUGGGCUUAACCCAUAAACUGCAUUUGAAACUGUGGUUCUUGAGUGAAGUAGAGGUAAGCGGAAUUCCUAGUGUAGCGGUGAAAUGCGUAGAUAUUAGGAGGAACAUCAGUGGCGAAGGCGGCUUACUGGGCUUUAACUGACGCUGAGGCUCGAAAGCGUGGGGAGCAAACAGGAUUAGAUACCCUGGUAGUCCACGCCGUAAACGAUGAUUACUAGGUGUGGGGGGACUGACCCCUUCCGUGCCGCAGCAAACGCAAUAAGUAAUCCACCUGGGGAGUACGACCGCAAGGUUGAAACUCAAAGGAAUUGACGGGGGCCCGCACAAGCAGUGGAGUAUGUGGAUUAAUUCGAAGCAACGCGAAGAACCUUACCAAGUCUUGACAUCCUGCGACGCACAUAGAAAUAUGUGUUUCCUUCGGGACGCAGAGACAGGUGGUGCAUGGUUGUCGUCAGCUCGUGUCGUGAGAUGUUGGGUUAAGUCCCGCAACGAGCGCAACCCUUACUGUUAGUUGCUACGCAAGAGCACUCUAGCAGGACUGCCGUUGACAAAACGGAGGAAGGUGGGGAUGACGUCAAAUCAUCAUGCCCCUUAUGACCUGGGCCUCACACGUACUACAAUGGCUGUCAACAGAGGGAAGCAAAGCCGCGAGGUGGAGCAAACCCCUAAAAGCAGUCUUAGUUCGGAUUGUAGGCUGCAACCCGCCUACAUGAAGUCGGAAUUGCUAGUAAUCGCAGAUCAGCAUGCUGCGGUGAAUACGUUCCCGGGCCUUGUACACACCGCCCGUCACGCCAUGGGAGUCGGUAACACCCGAAGCCUGUAGUCUAACCGCAAGGAGGACGCAGUCGAAGGUGGGAUUGAUGACUGGGGUG